rnacentral:miRNA from 1 species
AUGAGAAUGAUUGAUUGAUGUG